UACGAAGGGUGCUAGCGUUGCUCGGAAUCACUGGGCGUAAAGCGCACGUAGGCGGAUCUUUAAGUCAGGGGUGAAAUCCUGGAGCUCAACUCCAGAACUGCCUUUGAUACUGGGGAUCUCGAGUCCGGAAGAGGUGAGUGGAACUCCGAGUGUAGAGGUGAAAUUCGUAGAUAUUCGGAAGAACACCAGUGGCGAAGGCGGCUCACUGGUCCGGUACUGACGCUGAGGUGCGAAAGCGUGGGGAGCAAACAGG
rnacentral:rRNA from 1 species